rnacentral:lncRNA from 1 species
AGCCGCCUCUCCUUCCGGAGCACCCCUCUGUCUGUCGGGGACUUGGUUCCUCUGGGCCUGGCCUCCAUCCGCCUGUAGAACGAGACCGUAGAAGCGGAGAUCGCCAGUCUGGGACACAGAACACACGACGAGCCUGUCCUGAACUCGGCUCAGCCCCUGACCUAGCCCUGCGCCCUCAGCUUCCCCCAGCAGAGAUUAAGGGAUGGUGCAGACAGGGUCAAUCCUCCGGGCAACCAGCGGGCCCCAGACCACCGCAGAACAAUAGCCAGCCCAGAGCCGGCCCUUUCACCGCUGGCUUUGACAGCCGCGGAACAACAUCAACAGAGAAACAGAGAAGGACUUUAUUAAAGGCUCACUGUGGGCCGGGAACAGGCUGGGGAGACAUACAAACAAGACAACUAAGGAAAGAGUGUGUUCAGCAGUCAGUGUACGGUGGACCAGGAUCACAUCAGCCUGAAGCAGUGAUGCUAUCACUUCCUCCUCCCUCUAAGAAGCUACCAGCCUUGGUCAUUUGGUCAAAGGCUCUCACAGUCCAUCCACCAGAUUGCAGAGGAGUGCUUUCAUGGAGGGAGGACCUCCACUGAUGGAAUUUCACAUCCUUAAAGGUAAGAUUUGGGAGCUGAGGCCUCUGGAGAGAUAACUCUUCCAAAGAGGGACAGCCCUUAUUUGCUCUGUGUUUCCAGGAAAAAAAGGAACAUGUUGAUGUUACUGCAGAGGGAUGAGUCAGCUGGCAUCAUAUUAUCCCAUUCCACUUUGGCAGGACUCUGCUUGCUAGUUCCUGGGACUGCAGACAUCUAGGUGGGAAGGGGAGGAGAGCUGGCCAGCUGCCUAUAAGUAACUCCUUCCCACUGAAAGGGGACAGUUUUUUUCAGAAAAUGUUUUUCCAUGGCCCUGCAGUCUAGUCCGGUUCCCUGUGGCUCAAUACACCUAGAGAUCUGGGUCUGGAGUCAGAAAUACCCGAGUUCAAAUCCAGUCUCUGGAUGACCCUGGGCAAGAGACACUCUGUGCCUCAGUUUCUUAAUCUGUAAAAUGAGGUGAUAACGACAGUGGCUACCUACCAGGAUUGUUGUCAGGAUCAAACAAGAUAUUUAUAAAGCACUUCACUUCCGUGUUAUAAGGCAUCAAAGGAGGACUUCUGAGGAUGAAAUUAAUUAAGCACAUAGUAGGUGCUUAAUACAGUCUUGCUCCCAUCUUUCCUUGUGACUAUGGAUCCUUGGGUCUCAUUUAAGCUCAGAGAACAUUUUCAGAAUUCUUCUGGUGGCCGAGCAUGCAGUAAGAUCACUUUAAAUGAUUCUUAAAAUGUUCUGUUUUUGAUGGGAUCAAGUAACACGAAAGAGUAUUUCUAAAAGAAUACAAGGCUGGUGGCAAACCAGUCUGUGCGGUAAGGAAGGCAGCGAGGGGUUCACACUGAGAGUUGGAGUUCUUGCUUGGCUUUGAACUUCAGCUCAGGGCUUCAGAGCCGUGAGACCUUGGCCAAGUCAUCUUCAAGAUCUCUCCUGGUCUAAGACUAGGGGGCUGGCCUGGGGGAUUGCUGGGAUCUUCUGCAGUCUAGUCUAACAAGUAUUUGCACUCCUUCAGUGCUUA